rnacentral:rRNA from 1 species
AUUGAACGCUGGCGGCAUGCCUUACACAUGCAAGUCGAACGGCAGCACGGGGGCAACCCUGGUGGCGAGUGGCGAACGGGUGAGUAAUACAUCGGAACGUGCCCGGUAGUGGGGGAUAGCUCGGCGAAAGCCGGAUUAAUACCGCAUACGACCUACGGGUGAAAGCGGGGGACCGCAAGGCCUCGCGCUAUUGGAGCGGCCGAUGUCAGAUUAGGUUGUUGGUGGGGUAAAGGCCCACCAAGCCGACGAUCUGUAGCUGGUCUGAGAGGACGACCAGCCACACUGGGACUGAGACACGGCCCAGACUCCUACGGGAGGCAGCAGUGGGGAAUUUUGGACAAUGGGCGCAAGCCUGAUCCAGCCAUGCCGCGUGC